rnacentral:misc_RNA from 1 species
UGAGGGAAGUCGGGGGUGGUAGAUAGAUUGCCAGCGUGGAAAUUGGCACUGACGGACGGCUGACGGGUGACUAACGGCCGGUAGUGGCCGUUAACUGACGGCGGUGGACAGAGGCGAAGACGCCGUUAUUGACGGCGUCACUGACGGAAUCUUUGACGGCGUAGACGGACGGUGACGGCUCCGUCAGUUGACGGUCCGUAACGGUCCUUGACGGAGCCGUCACGGAGGGUCG